GGGGAUGAUCGGUAUCGACAAUUGCCGUCUCCCGUUCGUGCGGUGCGAGCGCUGCUAUCUCGUAAAUCUGGCAGAAACCACAAAUGCUAAAAACACCGUUUCUCCGUAUUUCGGAGCCAAGGAUUUUGCAUUCGCACUCGCUUAAGUAGUGCGCGUUCGUCUAAGGGGAUCCAUACCUUAGUUGCGGAUGUCAUAACCCGGACGUAGGAAUAGAGAACUUCUCACUCUGUAUUCCGAAACCUAGAGAUCGUGAAUGUGUGUUUCGUAGACUUUUUCAUCGCAUUCAUUAAACAUCAAUUUCUACUAUCACCGUAGAAUCGUUCGGCGAGAUUCAGUUGCACGUGGGUUCGAUUCCCACCAUCUCCACAA
rnacentral:tmRNA from 1 species